AUAGACCAUAGGCAUUAUAUAUGUUCACUGUUCACUGCGUGUAAAUACAAUGAUUGACCUUCCAUCAACAGACAAGAGGCGUAACUCCAUGGCAACAGAGAAAUAGAGGUCACAAUCAUAUUUUCCAAGGCAAUUUUUGGCCCUCAGGGGGGAUUCACUGUUAUACUUGGAGGCCGUGUCACCUGAGAGUCAAUGGGCAAUGAUCAAAUUUCACCUUGAGCAGCACUCGAUGUCAGAGUUGUUGUGAAGAUUAAAGAAGAUGAUGAUUGGACAACUCCCAGCCCAAUACCUGAAACUGUACCAGCACCCGGUGAGCAUUGCUAUUCCUGUGACUGCUACAUAUUUACCUUAUCUCAGCAGUGUGCCUGUGUCACUUUUUUGUGAAGAGAACAUCCCGUGUACUAUCGUGUAGAAGUUGUAGUAGAUGCUGGGUCUUUCCAACAACAAACAACCCUCGUGCCAGCAACUUAAAUUUAUCAGUGAUGAAGAAUACCUGGCAUUGACUUCUGCAUGAGUGCCCUUUUAGUUGCUUUGUAUUCUUCUACCUUGAUUUUUUUUUCUGUUUUUCUACAUGAGUGUUGCCUGCAGAGUUCCAACUGACUCAAAGUACAUCUUCUGUAUUGCUUCAAGUAGUGCUGGUCAUGAACACAAUUAAGUCUUCGUCAGCUAUUGGAACUGAUUGACUGCAAAGUUCUGAUGCCUCUUCUCUCAGCCCAGGGCAGAUGGAUGUGCUAUGUGGGGGCCCAUAAAAAGCAGAAUCAUGGAGCUGGUGGGGCAAGGAGUCAAACUCCCUCCUAGGGCCUGUAGCCUCCACCAGGGCAGAGAGCAAGUUUCUCUCAGCUUCUGCUCUCAGGUGGUGACCUGGCAGGAGGACAGCUUGGCAGUAGGUGCAGGCAUUGGAUGGGGACCUCCUGGCUCCUCUCCUAGCUCUGCCAGCACCAGCCAUAAGGCACUCAGAUCAUGCAACUUCCCUGUGUCUCCGUCUCUGCAUCUUUAAAAUGGGGCGAAUAAGAACACUUUUCUCAUAGACUUAUAAAGAGAAUUAAUAAGAAAAAUGAUAAAAUAAUGCUUGGCUCAGAAUGUGCACUCCAUGAACAUUAGCUGUUACCACUUAAGAAGGGCGUGUAACCUCCAGCUGCACCCAUGCCAGUUCCCGUUGUCUCACCCUGGGCCAGCGACACCCAUCUUAAGUCACCAUUGAGAAUACAAGCAAGUCAUGCUGAAAUCUGCCAGAAUAAAGGUCUAUCUUCACAGAACAAGCCUGUCUACACUUGAACCCACAGUUUUUCGGUCAUAUCCAGACUUCAAGGAGGGAAGAGGGCUCCACUGCGGGCUUCCUGUAGCAAGCAUGGGGGCCGUGUCUGAGUCCCCUGCGGUGUUCUGUCACCAUAGACCGUGACUUUCAAGCAACACAGUCACUUCUCACAGCGCUAGAGGUCAGAAGUCCCAGAUGA